rnacentral:rRNA from 1 species
CAGCAGCCACGGUAAUACGGAGGGUGCAAGCGUUAAUCGGAAUUACUGGGCGUAAAGCGCACGCAGGCGGUCUGACAAGUCAGAUGUGAAAUCCCCGGGCUUAACCUGGGAACUGCAUUUGAAACUGUCAGGCUGGAGUCUUGCAGAGGGGGGUGGAAUUCCAGGUGUAGCGGUGAAAUGCGUAGAGAUCUGGAGGAAUACCGGUGGCGAAGGCGGCCCCCUGGACAAAGACUGACGCUCAGGUGCGAAAGCGUGGGGAGCAAACAGGAUUAGAUACCCGUGUAGUCCCUGUCUCUUAUAC